AAUGAACGUUGGCGGCGUGGAUUAGGCAUGCAAGUCGAGCGAGAACCCCGCAAGGGGGGACAGCGGCAAACGGGGUAGUAAUGUGUCGGAACGUGCCCUGAGGUCGGGGAUAGCGGCGGGAAACUGCCGGGAAUACCCGAUGAUCUCGAGAGAGCAAAGGUGUGAUUCCGCCUUUGGAGCGGCCGACAUGGUAUUAGCUAGUUGGCGGGGUAACGGCCCACCAAGGCUGGGAUGCCUAGGGGAGGUGAGACCAUGGUCCCCACCAUUGGGACUGAGACACUGCCCAGACACCUACGGGUGGCUGCAGUCGAGAAUCUUCGUCAAUGGGCGAAAGCCUGAACGAGCGACGCCGCGUGCGGGAUGAAGGCCUUUGGGUUGUAAACCGCUGUCGAGGGGGAUGAAGGCUGGAGGGUACUCCUUCCAGUUUGACAGAGCCCUGGAGGAAGCACGGGCUAAGUUCGUGCCAGCCGCCGCAGUAAAAC
rnacentral:rRNA from 1 species